rnacentral:lncRNA from 1 species
AUGAAUUUGUGGCAGUACCAAGUAAGUAAUGAGCAGUUCAAGUUACCUCCAAGGCUAAUCAACGAGAAUGAAGAUGAAGUAUCCCUACAGCAACAUGUCCAACCUUCUCCACCACAGAAGUCAAUAAUGAGCAGUCACUCUCUCACGAAGAGCCUCAAGAUCCUCAUGCUGAUGUUCAACCUGUCAUCGAAAUUACCAGAAGAUAGUCCCCAAGAGUUAGAAAGCCAUCAAUUUCUGAUGAAUGUAUAUUUGCAGGAGAUUGAAUGA